CUCAAAGGAAUUGACGGGGGCCCGCACAAGCGGUGGAGCAUGUGGUUUAAUUCGAUGCAACGCGAAGAACCUUACCUGCUUUUGACAUCCUCGGAAUCCCGCAGAGAUGCGGGAGUGCUUCGGGAACCGAGUGACAGGUGCUGCAUGGCUGUCGUCAGCUCGUGUCGUGAGAUGUUGGGUUAAGUCCCGUAACGAGCGCAACCCUUGUCCCUAGUUGCCAGCACUUCGGGUGGGAACUCUAGGGAGACUGCCGGUGACAAACCGGAGGAAGGUGGGGAUGACGUCAAGUCAUCAUGGCCCUCAUGGGCAGGGCUACACACGUGCUACAAUGGCCGGUACAGAGGGUUGCCAAGCAGCGAUGCGGAGCUAAUCCCUCAAAACCGGUCGUAGUCCGGAUCGAAGUCUGCAACUCGACUUCGUGAAGUCGGAAUCGCUAGUAAUCGCGGAUCAGAACGCCGCGGUGAAUACGUUCCCGGGCCUUGUACACACCGCCCGUCACACCAUGGGAGUGGGCUGCACCAGAAGUAGAUAGC
rnacentral:rRNA from 1 species